ACAGACGGCGGGGCGGGGUGGUCCGUGCGGCGGCGAGUGAUAGGCGGAUAGAGCGAAGGUUUUUUUUUUGUGAGACAGAGACGGCGAGCGAUGACUAUAAGUUUUUCACAGUGGUGGCUACCGGAUCUUUUCUCCUUACUGCUGCUCUCCUCGGUGCAGAAAGAAGAAAACGACUUGGGAUGAUGAAACCCCAGCGGCGCUUGAUUAAUUGGGAUGGGUGAAAUAUGUUUAGGGCUUUCAUUAUUUUACUUUUUAUACUAUUUGGAUUUAAGUACUCCGUGUUAGGGAAUUUUUGUGUAAUUUAAACUUGAGAGAAAAUAUGUGCGGAUGACAUCCAGUGUACCACAAAUUGUGUCCCACUCCAUGUCCCACAAGCAAAACUACGUAGUUUUGAUUAGUUUUGAUUAUAACUAAAGAUCAUACGUAUAUAUCUGUAUAAGAAAUCUCAGCUCGGCUCAUCGGCUUGAAGAUCUUCUCUUUUCCUUGAUAGAUAUGCUUCCUCCGUAUCUCAAGGAAAGUUUCCAAAUUUCUGCCGAAAAUUAUCUAGCCAUGGAAAUUAGAUAUUUUUUCGCCCAGUUCAUACGUUCUCCUGCUCAAAUCCAAAAUUCAAACUUCAAUCUGGUUCUACUCUUUUCUCUCGCCAUCCGGAGACGACAAUCGAAAUCACGCCGUCAAUUUUUUUGCAAGAACCCAAUUCGAAUUAUCGGUGAAAUGAAGAAUGACGACAACAUUGGCUUUCGAUUUUUUUUAUCAGACAUCAGUAGAGAAGCACUUUUUAUAGUAAUUAGAGUCUGUGAUUAAUCAAGAUUCAGCCUUUCUGCUGCAUUACAUUUGAGUGAUGAGACCUUGAAUGAGAUGAGUUGAUCUUGUAUUUACAGAUUACAGAAACUCUGAAACUUCUACUAACAUUAAGAAAGCCUCAACCUUUUUGUGG